UGGCUCAGUGGUAGAGUGCUUGUCUUGCAUGCAUGAGGCCUUAGGUUCGAUUCCUCA
rnacentral:tRNA from 1 species